GGGGAGGUAGACUAACUGGCAAGUCGCCGCGAUUUGAGACCUCGGAAAUGCCGGUUCGAACCCGGUCCUCUCCA
rnacentral:tRNA from 1 species